rnacentral:rRNA from 1 species
AAUUUGACCUCAAAUCAGGUAGGAACUA